GCCCGGGUGGCGGAAUCGGCAUACGCGUGCGCUUGAGGUGCGCAUGGGGCAACCCGUGUGGGUUCAAAUCCCACCCCGGGCA
rnacentral:tRNA from 1 species